rnacentral:tRNA from 2 species
GGGGCCGUGGUGAAGCGGGAUCACAUCACAAUGGCAUUGUGAGGUCACGAGUUCGAUUCUCGUCGGCUCCACCA